UACGGAGGGGUGCGAGCGUUUGUCCGGAAUCUUGGGCGUAAAGGGCGCGUAGGUGGCCUGCUAAGCGUCGCGGUGAAAGUCGGGGGCUCACCCCCGAUCGGCCGUGCGAACUGGGAGGCUUGAGCACUGUAGAGGCAGGCGGAAUUCCGGGUGUAGCGGUGGAAUGCGUAGAGAUCCGGAAGAACACCGGUGGCGAAGGCGGCCUGCUGGGCAGUUUUGCUGACACUGAGGCGCGACAGCGUGGGGAGCAACAGG
rnacentral:rRNA from 1 species